rnacentral:rRNA from 1 species
AACGUAGGAGGCGAGCGUUAUCCGGAUUCACUGGGCGUAAAGCGCAUGUAGGUGGCUCGUCAAGUCGCCUGUGAAAGCCCCUGGCUUAACUGGGGGAGGUCAGGCGAAACUGACGGACUUGAGGGCCGGAGAGGAAGGUGGAAUUCCCGGUGUAGCGGUGGAAUGCGUAGAGAUCGGGAGGAACACCAGUGGCGAAAGCGACCUUCUGGGCGGCGCCUGACACUGAGAUGCGAAAGCGUGGGGAGCAAACGGG